rnacentral:rRNA from 1 species
UCCGUAGGGUCCGAGCGUUGUCCGGAAUUACUGGGCGUAAAGAGCUCGUAGGUGGUUUGUCGCGUUGUUCGUGAAAACUCACAGCUCAACUGUGGGCGUGCGGGCGAUACGGGCAGACUAGAGUACUGCAGGGGAGACUGGAAUUCCUGGUGUAGCGGUGGAAUGCGCAGAUAUCAGGAGGAACACCGGUGGCGAAGGCGGGUCUCUGGGCAGUAACUGACGCUGAGGAGCGAAAGCGUGGGGAGCGAACAGG